AGGAUAAACGCUGGCGGCGUGCCUAACACAUGCAAGUCGAACGAGAAAGUGGAGCAAUCCAUGAGUAAAGUGGCGCACGGGUGAGUAACACGUGACUAACCUACCUUUAGUGGGGAUAACCUAGGGAAACCUGGGCUAAUACCGCAUAACACUUACGAGUCAAAGCAGCAAUGCGCUGAAAGAGGGGUCGCGGCCGAUUAGCUAGUUGGCGGGGUAAUGGCCCACAAGGCAGUGAUCGGUA
rnacentral:rRNA from 1 species